GAUGAACGCUGGCGGCGUGCCUAAUACAUGCAAGUCGAGCGAACAGACGAGGAGCUUGCUCCUCUGACGUUAGCGGCGGACGGGUGAGUAACACGUGGAUAACCUACCUAUAAGACUGGGAUAACUUCGGGAAACCGGAGCUAAUACCGGAUAAUAUAUUGAACCGCAUGGUUCAAUAGUGAAAGACGGUUUUGCUGUCACUUAUAGAUGGAUCCGCGCCGCAUUAGCUAGUUGGUAAGGUAACGGCUUACCAAGGCAACGAUGCGUAGCCGACCUGAGAGGGGGGUGGGCCCCCCUGGAACUGAGACACGGUCCCGACCCCGACGGGGGGCAGCAGUAGGGAAUCUUCCGCAAUGGGCGAAAGCUUGACGGAGCAACGCCGCGUGAGUGAUGGAGGUCUUCGGAUCGUAAAACUCUGUUAUUAGGGAAGAACAAAUGUGUAAGUAACUAUGCACGUCUUGACGGUACCUAAUCAGAAAGCCACGGCUAACUACGUG
rnacentral:rRNA from 1 species